UGGAUGUUUAUCGCUAUGACUCAUGGGGUGGUUCAUUACUUCCAACAUACACCGUCGGACAGCAGUUUGUUCCGACAACUUUAACGCUUGAUUCAGGAGUGACUCGACCACCGCCUCUUCUUGCUGAAGCUGACCUCCUUAGCUGCAUGGAUAAAGCAGGAAUCGGCACCGAUGCAACCAUGCAUGAACACAUAAAGAAGCUACUUGACCGUUGUUAUGCAACCAAAGAUGCAAAUUCACGUUUCUCACCAACAAAUCUUG